rnacentral:rRNA from 1 species
GGGGGAUAUUGCACAAUGGAGGAAACUCUGAUGCAGCAACGCCGCGUGAGUGAAGAAGGUUUUCGGAUUGUAAAGCUCUGUCAUCUGGGACGAUAAUGACGGUACCAGAUGAGGAAGCCACGGCUAACUACGUGCCAGCAGCCGCGGUAAUACGUAGGUGGCAAGCGUUGUCCGGAAUUACUGGGCGUAAAGGGUGCGCAGGCGGACAUUUAAGUGAGAUGUGAAAUACCCGGGCUUAACCCGGGCAGUGCAUUUCAAACUGGGUGUCUGGAGUGCAGGAGAGGAGAACGGAAUUCCUAGUGUAGCGGUGAAAUGCGUAGAGAUUAGGAAGAACACCAGUGGCGAAGGCGGUUCUCUGGACUGUAACUGACGCUGAGGCACGAAAGCGUGGGUAGCAAAC